GAUAAACGCUGGCGGCGUGCCUAACACAUGCAAGUCGAACGCCCUUACGCAAGUAAGGGAGUGGCGGACGGGUGAGGAACACGUGGGUGAUCUGCCUUGAGGUGAGGAAUACCGGCGAGAAAUCGCCGACAAUACCGCAUACGUUCGCAAGAACAAAGUCGCAAGACGCCUUGAGAUGAGCCUGCGUCCGAUUAGCUAGUUGGUGGGGUAAAAGCCUACCAAGGCAGCGAUCGGUAGCUGGUCUGAGAGGGCGACCGGCCACACUGGGACUGAGACACGGCCCAGACUCCUACGGGAGGCAGCAGUGGGGAAUCUUGCGCAAUGGGCGAAAGCCUGACGCAGCGACGCCGCGUGAGGGAUGACGGCCUCGGUUGUAA
rnacentral:rRNA from 1 species